rnacentral:rRNA from 1 species
AGAAUGAACGCUGGCGGCGUGCUUUACACAUGCAAGUCGAGCGAGGCGUGUAGCAAUACACAGCCCUAGCGGCGAACGGGUGAGUAACGCGUGGAUGACCUGCCCUUCAGCGGGGAAUAACCCGGGGAAACUCGGGCUAAUACCGCAUACGACCGAGAGGUGAAAGGGGGCCGCAAGGCUCUCACUGAAGGAGGGGUCCGCGUUCGAUUAGCUAGUUGGUAGGGUAAUGGCCUACCAAGGCGACGAUCGAUAGCCGGCCUGAGAGGGUGAUCGGCCACACUGGAACUGAGACACGGUCCAGACUCCUACGGGAGGCAGCAGUGGGGAAUUUUGCGCAAUGGGGCUAAACGCCUGACGCAGCAAACGCCGCGUGGAGGAUGAAGGUCUUUGGAUUGUAAAACUCCUGUCAGCAGGGAAAAAAGGAUAAAGACCUACAUAACGUCUUAAACUUGAUUGUACCUGCAGAGGAAGCCCCGGCUAACUCUGUGCCAGCAGCCGCGGUAA